AAGAGUGGCGAACGGGUGAGUAACACGUGGGUAACCUGCCCAUCAGAAGGGGAUAACACUUGGAAACAGGUGCUAAUACCGUAUAACAAUCGAAACCGCAUGGUUUUGAUUUGAAAGGCGCUUUCGGGUGUCGCUGAUGGAUGGACCCGCGGUGCAUUAGCUAGUUGGUGAGGUAACGGCUCACCAAGGCCACGAUGCAUAGCCGACCUGAGAGGGUGAUCGGCCACAUUGGGACUGAGACACGGCCCAAACUCCUACGGGAGGCAGCAGUAGGGAAUCUUCGGCAAUGGACGAAAGUCUGACCGAGCAACGCCGCGUGAGUGAAGAAGGUUUUCGGAUCGUAAAACUCUGUUGUUAGAGAAGAACAAGGAUGAGAGUAACUGUUCAUCCCUUGACGGUAUCUAACCAGAAAGCCACGGCUAACUACGUGCCAGCAGCCGCGGUAAUACGUAGGUGGCAAGCGUUGUCCGGAUUUAUUGGGCGUAAAGCGAGCGCAGGCGGUUUCUUAAGUCUGAUGUGAAAGCCCCCGGCUCAACCGGGGAGGGUCAUUGGAAACUGGGAGACUUGAGUGCAGAAGAGGAGAGUGGAAUUCCAUGUGUAGCGGUGAAAUGCGUAGAUAUAUGGAGGAACACCAGUGGCGAAGGCGGCUCUCUGGUCUGUAACUGACGCUGAGGCUCGAAAGCGUGGGGAGCAAACAGGAUUAGAUACCCUGGUAGUCCACGCCGUAAACGAUGAGUGCUAAGUGUUGGAGGGUUUCCGCCCUUCAGUGCUGCAGCUAACGCAUUAAGCACUCCGCCUGGGGAGUACGACCGCAAGGUUGAAACUCAAAGGAAUUGACGGGGGCCCGCACAAGCGGUGGAGCAUGUGGUUUAAUUCGAAGCAACGCGAAGAACCUUACCAGGUCUUGACAUCCUUUGACCACUCUAGAGAUAGAGCUUCCCCUUCGGGGGCAAAGUGACAGGUGGUGCAUGGUUGUCGUCAGCUCGUGUCGUGAGAUGUUGGGUUAAGUCCCGCAACGAGCGCAACCCUUAUUGUUAGUUGCCAUCAUUUAGUUGGGCACUCUAGCAAGACUGCCGGUGACAAACCGGAGGAAGGUGGGGAUGACGUCAAAUCAUCAUGCCCCUUAUGACCUGGGCUACACACGUGCUACAAUGGGAAGUACAACGAGUCGCGAAGUCGCGAGGCUAAGCUAAUCUCUUAAAGCUUCUCUCAGUUCGGAUUGUAGGCUGCAACUCGCCUACAUGAAGCCGGAAUCGCUAGUAAUCGCGGAUCAGCACGCCGCGGUGAAUACGUUCCCGGGCCUUGUACACACCGCCCGUCACACCACGAGAGU
rnacentral:rRNA from 1 species